UACGGAGGGUGCAAGCGUUAUCCGGAUUCACUGGGCUUAAAGGGUGCGUAGGCGGGCUGGUAAGUCCGUGGUGAAAUCUCUGAGCUUAACUCAGAAACUGCCAUGGAUACUAUUUGUCUUGAAUGUUGGGGAGGUAAGCGGAAUAUGUCAUGUAGCGGUGAAAUGCUUAGAUAUGACAUAGAACACCCAUUGCGAAGGCAGCUUACUACACAAAUAUUGACGCUGAGGCACGAAAGCGUGGGGAUCAAACAGG
rnacentral:rRNA from 1 species